CACGUUAGCCCACUUUUCAAUUAAUAAAAGAAUAAGAGAAAAAACCCAACUUCUCCUCUUCCCACACUUCUCUCUCUGAUGAAAUGACUCUGCUUCUUCCUCUAUCACCUCUAUUCCAACCCCUUUUUCUCCCAACGGUGCGGCUCUGGGGAAGACAAUGACGUGCUUGGGAGGUGGCUUCGCAGGAGAUAGUUUGUGCAUAGUAGCAACGGUAACUCGCUUGGCGGCGUGGGUACGAUGGAGACGAGGCUUGGCGAGGUUGGAGAACGACGUCUCAAUCUCUUCCACUCGCGGUUAUAUUCAUCGCCUCUUUGAACACCAAGAUUUCACAAACAUUUGGAUAAGAAGCAUAUUUAUCAUUAAUCACUUGAACAUGUUAUUGUUAUUGGUUUAUUUGCUAUUUAUCGUGUUUGAAGAAAGCUUUAUUUUUAUUUAUCCAUUGAUUAGUUUAGGGUCAUGUCUAAUCCAUUUUAGGAUUUUGAAUUGAAUUCUUCUCAUGCUAUUUUUUUUUAUCUGCAAUUAACAAAGGAAAAGCAGAACAAAGAGAGCUAAUAAUCAUGGGUUAGCAUAUCCAAUUCCAAAAGAUUAAUGGUGGAAAUGAGCGCUACAGUUACAUCAAAAACUCAGACUUUCAGGUGCCAAGUUGAUCAUACUGGUGUUGGCAGUUAAAUUUUAGCAAUGAUUUUCAUUUAUAUAUAUGCCACAAGUUUUCUUGAGAGAAUAUUAGCAUGGUUUUUGUAGAUAAGUGUGUAGCAUGAGUAUUUACUGUUUUGGGUAAUAAGUUUGCUCUUAUAUUCUUGUUGGAAUGUUUUUUGAAAAGUUUUAUUAUGAGCGAUAUUUAUUCAGUUCUUGAUUUGUCGGGAGGCAUGGCUUACUGGGAUUUUGGUAUGGAAGGUUUAUGAUCAGGAGAAUAUCACUUUUUAUAAAUAUAAUAUGUCAUAAUUAUUUUCCUUUGUAAGAGACCAUAAUCUAUAUGUUGUAUGUGUUUCAUCCUCAAUCAAACUUGUAGCCUCAGACACGAGAUUAUGAGUGCCUUCUUGGUGGUGAUCAUAUAA